rnacentral:snoRNA from 13 species
ACGACCUUACUUGAACAGGAUCUGUUCUAUAGGCUCGUACUGCCAGCAGGGUUGGACUUAUCGCCGGGGGCCCGGUUACCGUCACCUGGCGGUAACCGCGCAAAACCACGAUAAAUUUGCAAUUUGAAAUUUGAAUUCAAAAAUUCGGCAAACCGCGGUUACCGCGCGAUGUGUGACGGGCC